AAAUUGAAGAGUUUGAUCAUGGCUCAGAUUGAACGCUGGCGGCAGGCCUAACACAUGCAAGUCGAACGGUAACAGGAAGCAGCUUGCUGCUUUGCUGACGAGUGGCGGACGGGUGAGUAAUGUCUGGGAAACUGCCUGAUGGAGGGGGAUAACUACUGGAAACGGUAGCUAAUACCGCAUAACGUCGCAAGACCAAAGAGGGGGACCUUCGGGCCUCUUGCCAUCGGAUGUGCCCAGAUGGGAUUAGCUUGUUGGUGGGGUAACGGCUCACCAAGGCGACGAUCCCUAGCUGGUCUGAGAGGAUGACCAGCCACACUGGAACUGAGACACGGUCCAGACUCCUACGGGAGGCAGCAGUGGGGAAUAUUGCACAAUGGGCGCAAGCCUGAUGCAGCCAUGCCGCGUGUAUGAAGAAGGCCUUCGGGUUGUAAAGUACUUUCAG
rnacentral:rRNA from 1 species